UUCUUCUCCUUCUAAUUCUCUUUAAUUUUUCGAUCUCCUUCUCCCUCACAAUCACGAAGAACACAUGCAACAUCUCGAUUUUCUGGGUUUUUGAAGACCACAUGCAACACCGAUUUGUAUGUUAUUUAGAUCUGAAAUCGAAGAAGCAAGAUACAAGCAAGAAUGAAUGAGUUUUUUUUUUAUUUAUUUAUAUUGUAAUUUUUUUUAAAAUUUAUAUUGUAAUUUUUUUUAUAUGCUGUAAUCAAAGUUUUUAUAUGUUGUAAUUUUUUUUUAUCAUAUAUUGCAAAUUUUCGAUUCUUGUUGAUA